AGCCUCGUUCAAGAUGGAAAUGGGCCGUCGUUGAUGGUGUCCGGAUAUGGUGACUGUGGCUACACUGGGACACGGGCGCUUCCAUCCCAGCAAGUGUACUGCAGGGGUGACCACCAGACCCCUAACGGUC